AUACGUAGGGAGCGAGCGUUGUCCGGAAUUACUGGGCGUAAAGGGCGCGUAGGCGGCGCUUCAAGUCGUCUGUCAAAUGGGAGGGCUUAACCCUUUUUCGCAGACGAAACUGGAGAGCUUGAGAAGCAGAGAGGCAAACAGAAUUCCUGGUGUAGCGGGGAAAUGCGUAGAUAUCAGGAAGAAUACCAGUGGCGAAGGCGGUUUGCUGGCUGCAUACUGACGCUGAAGCGCGAAAGCCAGGGGAGCAAACGGGAUUAGAUACCCCGGUAGUCCUGGCAGUAAACGAUGUAUGCUAGGUGUGAGACUAGCGAUAGUUUCGUGCCGAAGUUAACGCGAUAAGCAUACCGCCUGGGGAGUACGGUCGCAAGAUUGAAACUCAAAUGAAUUGGCGGGG
rnacentral:rRNA from 1 species